rnacentral:rRNA from 1 species
GUGACCUACGGGAGGCAGCAGUGGGGGAUAUUGCACAAUGGGGGGAACCCUGAUGCAGCGACGCCGCGUGGGUGAAGAAGCGCCCCGGCGCGUAAAGCCCUGUCAGCAGGGAAGAAGAAGGACGGUACCUGACCAAGAAGCCCCGGCUAACUACGUGCCAGCAGCCGCGGUAAUACGUAGGGGGCCAGCGUUAUCCGGAUUUCCUGGGUGUAAAGGGGGCCCAGACGGCGAUGCAAGCC